UGGGGAAUAUUGCACAAUGGGCGCAAGCCUGAUGCAGCGACGCCGCGUGGGGGAUGACGGCCUUCGGGUUGUAAACUCCUUUCGCUAGGGACGAAGCUUUUUGUGACGGUACCUAGAUAAGAAGCACCGGCUAACUACGUGCCAGCAGCCGCGGUAAUACGUAGGGUGCGAGCGUUGUCCGGAAUUACUGGGCGUAAAGGGCUCGUAGGUGGUUUGUCGCGUCGUCUGUGAAAUUCCGGGGCUUAACUCCGGGCGUGCAGGCGAUACGGGCAUAACUUGAGUACUGUAAGGGUAACUGGAAUUCCUGGUGUAGCGGUGAGAUGCGCAGAUAUCAGGAGGAACACCGAUGGAGAAGGCAGGUUACUGGGCAGUUACUGACGCUGAGGGGCGAAAGCAGGGGUAGCGAACAGG
rnacentral:rRNA from 1 species